GACGAACGCUGGCGGCGUGCCUAAUACAUGCAAGUAGAACGCUGAAGAGAGGAGCUUGCUCUUCUUGGAUGAGUUGCGAACGGGUGAGUAACGCGUAGGUAACCUGCCUUGUAGCGGGGGAUAACUAUUGGAAACGAUAGCUAAUACCGCAUAACAAUGGAUGACACAUGUCAUUUAUUUGAAAGGGGCAAUUGCUCCACUACAAGAUGGACCUGCGUUGUAUUAGCUAGUAGGUGAGGUAACGGCUCACCUAGGCGACGAUACAUAGCCGACCUGAGAGGGUGAUCGGCCACACUGGGACUGAGACACGGCCCAGACUCCUACGGGAGGCAGCAGUAGGGAAUCUUCGGCAAUGGGGGCAACCCUGACCGAGCAACGCCGCGUGAGUGAAGAAGGUUUUCGGAUCGUAAAGCUCUGUUGUAAGUCAAGAACGAGUGUGAGAGUGGAAAGUUCAC
rnacentral:rRNA from 1 species